UGCUAGUUGUACGAGUUUAGACUCGUAGCAGAUAGCUCAGUAACACGUGGCCAAACUACCCUAUGGAUCCGGACAACCUCGGGAAACUGAGGCUAAUCCGGAAUACGGCUCUCAGCCUGGAAGUGGCGAGAGUCAGAAACGCCCCGGCGCCAUAGGAUGUGGCUGCGGCCGAUUAGGUAGACGGUGGGGUAACGGCCCACCGUGCCCAUAAUCGGUACGGGUUGUGAGAGCAAGAGCCCGGAGACGGUAUCUGAGACAAGAUACCGGGCCCUACGGGGCGCAGCAGGCGCGAAACCUUUACACUGCACGAAAGUGCGAUAAGGGGACUCCAAGUGCGAGGGCAUAUAGUCCUCGCUUUUCACCACCGUAAGGAGGUGGUAGAAUAAGUGCUGGGCAAGACCGGUGCCAGCCGCCGCGGUAAUACCGGCAGCACGAGUGAUGACCGCUCUUAUUGGGCCUAAAGCGUCCGUAGCUGGCCACGCAAGUCUAUCGGGAAAUCCGCGCGCUCAACGCGCGGGCGUCCGGUGGAAACUGUGUGGCUUGGGACCGGAAGAUCCAGGGGGUACGUCCGGGGUAGGAGUGAAAUCCCGUAAUCCUGGACGGACCACCGGUGGCGAAAGCGCUCUGGAAAGACGGAUCCGACGGUGAGGGACGAAAGCUCGGGUCACGAACCGGAUUAGAUACCCGGGUAGUCCGAGCUGUAAACGAUGUCUGCUAGAUGUGCCACAGGCUACGAGCCUGUGGUGUGUCGUAGGGAAGCCGUGAAGCAGACCGCCUGGGAAGUACGUCCGCAAGGAUGAAACUUAA
rnacentral:rRNA from 1 species